rnacentral:lncRNA from 1 species
GACCCUAACUCAGGUCAGCCCUGUCCUCGGCACACUGGCUGCGACCUGGCUGGGUCGGCCCAAGAACCAGACGGAAGAGGCCGAGGCAGCCCCCGGAGGACCGCCGCCCUGCCCCACUGAGCCCGCCCUGCUGUUGGUCGCCUGGUACCUCAUGUCCAGCCCUGCGCUUCUCCACUUCCUCCUGGUUUGGGUUGAAGACGCCAUCCGGAAUCCUCCAUGGAAGGAGACAGCGCGACACAUGACCCAGCACCCUCCAGCAUUCAAAUCGGCAGACUAGGAUGGAAGUGCCCUUGUGAGCUGGGGGGCCCUUCAAAGGGCCAAGGAAAAAACGCGGGCCGAGGGACCAGCCUCUCAAACGGGCUUCGAGCUCCAAUGACCUUCGCUCACCCCCUUGAAAUGUCUGGAAAACAGAAUGGGCAGAUUUUCUGUCUUCAAAGUUUCCGGCUAAACCUCUUCAAGUUCUUUAUUGUUUCGGACUGAGACACUCAGCAAUGGUAAUGGGUAGUUUCUUUUGUAUUGGCCUUGAAAGGCCAAAAUAUUUUCAUAUUGCUACAGACAAAGCCGUCUAUUUAGAAAUGAACGCCAUGUCUGUCGUUUCCCACUGGGGACACUGUGUACAACGUGUGUGUGUGUCUCUGUGUACUCUAGGGUCUUGAAACAGGUUUCUCAUGGGGAUGGCCAUUCACCGGGGUCCAGGGGGAAGCGCCUGCCCUGCCAAAGGGGCCUGGGGAACCCGGCCCUAAUUGCACAUCUAUCCUGGUUGGUCUAGGACGUGCACCCCGGGAGGGUCUGGCUGCACUAAUAUGGACUCUGCCUGCAUCUGCCAUGUGUAUGUGUUAGGGACUGUGGCUUGUGCCUCCGUGGUCAGCUUGGUGGGAGGAAGCAGGAGACUCUAAGAUACUGUGGGUGUUCUGUUUCUCUUGUUGCGAGGUCAUUUCACUGGUAUCUGUUACAUGAUCCAAAUAAUGGCCCAUACAUGGAUGAAUGAAGGCACAAAGGAGUGGAUCAACUAAUAAACAGGUAGAGAAGUGAGCA